ensembl:lncRNA
CCCAGCAUAUCUGGCCCCACUCUCAGCACCUUCCAGGGAUCCCCCUGAUUUAUGGUGGGCAGGGAGCCGGGGGUCUGCAAGGCUGGGCCCUGCAAAGCACAGGUUGAAGGAGCACAUUUCUGUCCUCCUCCUGCAAACAAUGAGCAAGGAAAGCAGUAAUAUGUAAAGCUCAUUUACAUCAGCUUAUAAAUGGUGUCAAUACACAAAACAUCCCCAUUGCAUCUCCUGCUCCUUGCCUGGUGGAACUCAGGUGGGUUUACUGGGACCAGAGCCCAGUGCACUGCUGGGGUUUCCCUGGGCUUUCCUCUAUGGGGAGAUGAUGUGAUGGGGCCACCAGGAGCUGCAAUGGGUCACCAGCACAACCUCUGCUGGCCAGGCAGCUCCAGGCUCCCAUGAUGGAUCCAGCACACAAAGGGGGACAGGAGAGGGGGAAUCCGGCGUCAGCCUUGAGGUGCAGCAUGAAAACGCGUGUCUCGGUGACAGCUGCACAUUAAGUGUGAUGGGUUUUUGACAGAUCCAAUUACAAAGCCAGGUCUCAGCAGAAUCACAGCCCAGAUAUUCAGCGCAUGAAAUGUUGUUUGGGAAUUACUCAAUAUCUCUGCUUUGUGUCUCUGCUCCUCUCCGGAUCUGUGCAGACUCCAGCAGUUAUCUGUGGUCAUCACACCCACCUGCACUGCUCUGCUGAGGCACCGACCAUCCGCAGGUGCAGACCUGCCCUGGAAAUACCCCUUUAUGAAGGCAUCCCAAGCACAGGGCUGGAGCUGCCCCGUUCCUUUUUGUCCAACACGUGCCCAGGAUGAGAGUUUCCCUUUUAUUUCAUUUUUUCAGUAGCAGCCAAGAGGGCAGCGCUGUGCGCAGCUCUGACUGUGGUGCAGUGACGGCAGAUUUGCCUUUGCACCUGCAAAGCUGCUUCAUGCUCUGCUGGCUGCAGCUGAGCCCGGGCAUGCAGGAACAGCAGGGAGCAAAUUGAGCUCUGCUAUGGCCCUUAUGCAGCAGCUCCUGGGGUUCCUUGGGGUACUCAGCAGGGCCUGCAGCCCCUCUUGCCCCCACUGCAGAGGUGGGCACAGGGCUGCAAUCAGAGUGAAGAGAGGUGCUUGAUUUUGGGUUGGAGUUGCACCACGAUGCACACUUCCCAGCAGGCUGGAAUUUCCCUUGUUGCAGAAAUUUCCUUCAUCACGCUCCGGCUGCCCCAGGAAAGGUCACCUCUGCGUUCCCAGGCUCAGCAGAGCACAGGAGCUUAAGAUGUGCUGGAAAGCAAAGUUCAGCCCUUUGCCCCCUGUGCCCACCAGUGCCACCAGCCCAGCCCCGCUGCUGCCCACCUUCUGCCAACACCAGGCAGAGGGAUGGAGCUGCCCAGCCCAGCACUGCCCUCAGAGAGGCCCCCCAGCACCCCUCUGGCUGCAGGUUCCAAGUGUCCCUUCGUCUGACUUUAUCUCCAAGCCUUCAGUUCUCAUUAUUCCUCACUCAGCAAAGUUAAAGGGCUUUUAAUACCUGGCACUUUUCUCCCCGGGAAGGUGCUUGUACACUGCAAUCAAAGCACAUCUCAGGCUACUUUUCGAUAAGCUAAACAGAUUGAGCUGUAAGUCUCUGUUAAACACCCAGCCUCGGGGAAGGGCCAAUCUGAGGUGCUUCCAGGCAGAGGGAGCAGAGCUUUUUGCAGCUGGUGCACCGAGAGGUGAAUUGUCGCUCUGUGAUGUGCCAGAGAUAAAUGAAAUGGGCUGCAUAAAAAUAAAUCCUUGCAUUGUCCUCGCCUGGGAGAGCUCUGUGAGCACGCACUGCUAUGGGCACGCACUGCUGCAGGACAUUCCUGCACUGUGAGCCCACCCGAUACAGAGCCCUCACCUGCUGGGCUGCAGGAACUCACCUGCAACAGAGCAGGUAGAAAACACCUUCACGGCACUUUUAGCUGCAGAAUUUGCUGCAGCAGCUGUUUGCUCCGGGUCUAAUGGUGCCUGACUGUGCUUACAGGCAGGGAGUUAUGAUGGCCGGGAACGUAAGUGCUUUGGGGAGCUGAGAUAAGCAAAGAUACUCUGAGCCACGGGCUUAAAUCCAGGGGUUAUUGACAGGGAUGUGUCAGUGCACAAGGACUGGUCCAGCAGCCCUCGCUAAUGCCUGCAUAUUGACAGGGCAAUUGUAGUGAUGAAGUGGGGCUCUCAGUCUGUUUUAAUCACAGGAGAAACCUGCCCAGCCCUGAGCUGCAUGAGGAAGGGGGGAGAGGAGGAUGUGAACCUGGGGAAUGGGGACCCUCAGCCCCUGCAUCCCUGUAGCUCUGAGGUCAGAGCACGAGUAUGCUGCAGACCACAUGUAUGGGAGUGACCUGAACUGCUGAUGGGAGGGGAGAAGCCCCUGCCCUGCACUGAGGAUGCAGCCCCGGAGGUGGCGGCCCCGGCACCAGGAGGAUGUAGGGCAGAGCUGCUGGGGAGGUACAGACUUCUCCCUCUGAAGGACAGUGGCUCUGAAGGACACCAGCCAAGGUCACAGCAGCAGUCACCGUAGCUUGGCUGCUCUCUGCCACUGCACCCAAGGUGCCCGAGCUCCAGGGAAGGGGCAGCCAGAUGGGGCUGGGGGUAAAGCAGGGAUGGGAGGAAGGAGCAGAGGUUGGAUGCAGACCAUGAGCUGCUUCCAAACCCCACACAGCCCCACAUCACAGUGCUCUCCUGGUCCCGUAUCCCAUGGGGUCUGCUGCACCUCUAAAGAUGGGGAAGCUUUGAGCAACACUGCACAAACUUUGGUUUGAGGGAGCAAAGAGGACAAGGGAACAGCUGGCUCCGUGCAGACUGAGAGGUGAGUGCUGCAGGCACCAUCAGGUUAACUCGCAGCCUGGAUUCUCCAAGCACGAAUCAGGACAAUUAGAGCUUAGCAAAAUGAUCUGGGGUCCCCGCAGAGGGGCCUUAUCUUGGGCAGAGGGCACCGCAGCCCACAGAGAGCCGCAAAUAACUCACGCGGCCUCGUUACCCGGUUUCUGGAGCGGGAGCGCGGCUUCGCACUGCCCCCCAGAGACCCCCCGCCUGAAUUUGGGCUGAGCCCCACGGCGGCCGCUGCUUCCGAACGGAGCCGAACCCCCGGGGCAGCCCCACACAGCGCCCGCAGCGGGACGGGAGUGCGCUUCCCUCUAGCGACCGCCGACGGGAGAGCAGAGCGAGGAGGGACGGAGAGGAGCGGGACGGGAACACGAAUAGGGCAACGCGUUCUUUGCCCCGAGCCGGCUCGCACGAUGGAAGAGACCGCACAGCGCUUUCCAGGUACCCACCGCGCGCGUUUACCACGCAGGAUGCCCGACUUCAUAAAGCGGACGCGCUCCGGAUCGCACCGCGGGGCCGUCGGUUCG